GUCUACGGCCAUACCACCCUAAACGCGCCCGAUCUCGUCUGAUCUCGGAAGCUAAGCAGGGUCGGGCCUGGUUAGUACUUGGAUGGGAGACAGCCUGGGAAUACCGGGUGCUGUAGGCU
rnacentral:rRNA from 1 species